AUCCCAGCCACAAGCUAAAGAUCAGUAAAAAGCACAUAAAGAUUGAGAAUAAGUUAAUAAACCUGAUAAAUUAAUAACAACAAAUAAAGGAAAAUUUUGUGAGCGUCUAAGGAGUUUUUUUUAAUAAUUUAGUGAAAUUUUAAUAGGCAGCAGCAACAGCCUGUUUUCGGCUAUCACUUAAACCGUACAAUGUGCCGUUGGUGCGGAAAACAGCUUGAAUUUCACUGAAAGGAUAUUGAACGGGGAUUAAAUCCACUAUAUGACCAAACUUUUCUAAAGCUCUAAGAACUUCAAUUUCAACAGUUUCAUCGAUAUAGACGAUAUUAGGCAUUAGCUGAUGAUGAAAUCUAGGACUCUCAACAGAUUCUAACAAUGACUUGCCCCAUUUAUAUUUUUUAAUAAUUGUGUCUAACACAGCUGUCACGAUUCGGCUGCCACCGCUACCACCAAGAACCAUUUCAACUUCACCAUUAUAUACCAAAAUCGUAGGCACCGCGGAGCUUUGUGGUCGCUUACCAGGGGCAAUAAAGUUGUAUGGCGAUGGACUCAAACCGAAAGCAUUCACUAUUCCUGGAGAAGCAAAAUCGUCCAUGUGAUCAUUCAGUAUAAUACCCGUUUCAGGUUCCAAAAGUUGUGAACCAAACAUCAAAUUGAUAGAAGCUGUGAGUCCGACUGCCAUAUUGUCUUUGUCGAUAACGGAAAGAUGAGUAGUGCCGUGAUCGUUAGGGAAAUCGUAUUCGGCCUUGUAGUGAGUAAAAUCAAAAGUCCUCUCGUUAGAAAUAUUAUUGCGAAUUUCAUCAGCAUAUUCCAAAGAAAGUAACUGUUCAACAUG